rnacentral:rRNA from 1 species
UGGGGAAUUUUCCGCAAUGGGCGAAAGCCUGACGGAGCAACGCCGCGUGCGGGAUGACGGCCUGUGGGUUGUAAACCGCUUUUAACAGGGAAGAAGAUCUGACGGUACCUGUUGAAUCAGCAUCGGCUAACUCCGUGCCAGCAGCCGCGGUAAGACGGAGGAUGCAAGCGUUAUCCGGAAUUAUUGGGCGUAAAGCGUCCGCAGGUGGCCGUUCAAGUCUGUCGUUAAACCCCAGGGCUUCCAUG